rnacentral:rRNA from 1 species
UGACGAGUGGCGCACGGGUGAGUAACGCGUACGCAACCUACCCCUUGCCGGGGGAAAGUCACGGGAAACUGUGAAUAAUCCCGUAUGGCACUGAGUUGCUGCAUAGCAAUUCAGUCAAAGCUACGGCGGCAGGGGAUGGGCGUGCGUCCGAUUAGCUAGUUGGCGGGGUAAAGGCCCACCAAGGCGACGAUCGGUAGGGGGCGUGAGAGCGUGACCCCCCACACGGGUACUGAGACACGGACCCG